AGACGUUCCUAUUGCAAAUCCUGGAUAUUUUGACUCUGCGAGAUUGAAGUAACAAACGUCCUGAUUCUUAUUCAAUGAUUUCUUGGUUGCAAAGACAGCAGAGCAACAAAAUACUUGAUCCAGCAUAAGAAACAUGGAAGGACACAUGGACUAAGACGGAGCCUGAGAAUGAGACUGUAGCGUGUGACAAACAGGAUGCUGAAUGCUGACAUUUAGGACCGCAAAAACAACUAUAUUCAUAAAAACUCUAGAAACUAAGACUCACUAAUGAAGAACCAUGCUGGGCCAGAAGCAGUGAAAAAGAUCAUUAAUGAAAGUUACUGAGUCUUCACAGGAAAUCAAGAAGUGAGUAGGAAAAGAGAUCAUAAAAGAAAAACGGAGAUAUCUGACAUUUAUUCAGCAAUUGCACAUUAAGCUAAUAUUAAAGUAUUCUACUGUAAUUAUUUUAUUAUUUACUCCUCACACCAAACUUUCCUGGUAUUAGUUAUUUCAAACAAUGGAAAUAAACUUCAGAAUGCUUAGGUUAAUUUGGCACUCACUCAUUAUCUAAUAUUUAGUAAAAUUGGAACAGACAUUGUAGUUCGUUGUGCUCACCAAGCUCGCAUUUCCCCAAGUGAUAAACAACUAU